CGGUAAUUCCAGCUCCAAUAGCGUAUAUUAAAGUUGUUGCAGUUAAAAAGCUCGUAGUUGAACCUUGGGCUUGGUUGGCCGGUCCGCCUUUUUGGCGAGUACUGGACCCAACCGAGCCUUUCCUUCUGGCUAACCUUUCGCCCUUGUGGUGUUUGGCGAACCAGGACUUUUACUUUGAAAAAAUUAGAGUGUUCAAAGCAGGCCUUUGCUCGAAUAUAUUAGCAUGGAAUAAUAGAAUAGGACGUUAUGGUUCUAUUUUGUUGGUUUCUAGGACCAUCGUAAUGAUUAAUAGGGACGGUCGGGGGCAUCAGUAUUCAGUUGUCAGAGGUGAAAUUCUUGGAUUACCUGAAGACUAACUACUGCGAAAGCAUUUGCCAAGGACGUUUUCAUUAAUCAAGAACGAAAGUUAGGGGAUCGAAGAUGAUCGGAUACCGUCGUAGUCUUAACCAUAAACUAUGCCGACUAGGGAUCGGGUGUUGUUCUUUUUUUGACGCACUCGGCACCUUACGAGAAAUCAAAGUCUUUGGGUUCUGGGGGGAGUAUGAUCGCAAGGCUGAAACUUAAAGGAAUUGACGGAAGGGCACCACCAGGAGUGGAGCCUGCGGCUUAAUUUGACUCAACACGGGGAAACUCACCAGGUCCAGACACAAUAAGGAUUGACAGAUUGAGAGCUCUUUCUUGAUUUUGUGGGUGGUGGUGCAUGGCCGUUCUUAGUUGGUGGAGUGAUUUGUCUGCUUAAUUGCGAUAACGAACGAGACCUUAACCUACUAAAUAGUGCUGCUAGCUUUUGCUGGUAUAGUCACUUCUUAGAGGGACUAUCGAUUUCAAGUCGAUGGAAGUUUGAGGCAAUAACAGGUCUGUGAUGCCCUUAGACGUUCUGGGCCGCACGCGCGCUACACUGACGGAGCCAACGAGUAUUAACCUUGGCCGAGAGGUCUGGGAAAUCUUGUGAAACUCCGUCGUGCUGGGGAUAGAGCAUUGUAAUUAUUGCUCUUCAACGAGGAAUUCCUAGUAAGCGCAAGUCAUCAGCUUGCGUUGAUUACGUCCCUGCCCUUUGUACGCACCGCCCGUCGCUACUACCGAUUGAAUGGCUUAGUGAGGCCUCCGGAUUGGUUUAAAGAAGGGGGCAACUCCAUCUUGGAACCGAAAAGCUGGUCAAACUUGGUCAUUUAGAGGAAGUAAAAGUCGUAACAAGGUAACC
rnacentral:rRNA from 1 species